ensembl:lncRNA
AUACUGAUCACCUUUAACAGCCAAAAGGACACUGACAAGAAUAGUAUUUAUUUCCCUUUUGUGUCUGAGGGCUGAUUUCUCAGUGGAUGAUCCAUUGAUGUAGACUGGAUUAGUUGUGCUCCGAUGGAGAUGCUGUUGUUCCUGUUCUCUCUUGAUUGGCUGACGUGCAUUGGUUUGAGGAUGGAAAGAAAGGCCGAUGGGCUCCAGGCUGCCUGGCUGUCAUUCCUCGUCUGUCUGGACUCCCUGUCUGGGCUUCCUGUCUGGACUUCCUGUCUGGACUCCCUGUCUGGACUCCCUGUCUGGACUUCCUGUCUGGACUUCCUGUCUGGGCUUCCUGUCUAGACUUCCUGUCUGGACUUCCUGUCUGGACUCCCUGGCUCUGGAAGCCCUACGACCCCCUGGGGGUCACGUGUAGAGUUGUGUACAUUACAUGUAGUUUACUGUGGUUCUGUUCCGCAUCGGGGUCUGAAGUGGGCCCGACCCAGUUCUGAGGUUGUUGGUCUCUGGGACCAAUGGUUCUCGGUUAGUUGGUCUCUGGGACCAGUGGUUCUGAGGUAGUUGGUCUCUGGGACCAGUGGUUCUGAGGUAGUUGGUCUCUGGGACCACCGGUUCUGAGGUAGUUGGUCUAUGGGACCAGUGGUUCUCGGUUAGUUGGUCUCUGGGACCAGUGGUUCUGAGGUAGUUGGUCUAUGGGACCAGUGGUUCUGAGGUAGUUGGUCUCUGGGACCAGUGGUUCUCUCUGGGACCAGUGGUUCUGAGGUAGUUGGUCUCUGGGACCAGCGAUUCUCUCUGGGACCAGUGGUUCUGAGGUAGUUGGUCUCUGGGACCAGCGGUUCUGAGGUAGUUGGUCUCUGGGACCAGUGGUUCUCGGUUAGUUGGUCUCUGGGACCAGUGGUUCUGAGGUAGUUGGUCUCUGGGACCAGCGGUAGGGAAGGCGGUUCUGUUGGCUGGCGCUUGCUGUUCUGUGUUGUAGGGAACGUAGAGGACCCUUUCUCAGAUUGUUUGGAGCGAUCCUUGUUUCCUUCUGAGCCCUGUCUUACUGUCACUGCAAUGCCGUAUUGAGACAAACCUACACACACUACAUACUUCACACACACAUUUUACAGCACCCCACACAUGAGUUUAUAAUGUACAUAGAGAUAUGAAGGGAGAAUCUAACAUAUUUAAUUUAGUCCUUCUCUGUUCUUAAGGAGAAACAUGACUUGCUGUGUGUUCUACUAUCUGUCCAAAGACAGGGGCAGUGUAGGGCAAGAUUUCAGCCCCACGGCUGACAUGCACACUGACGUUGACUUAGGCUGUAGCUUUGGAGACAAACCCCUCUGAGAUCAAUGAUGAUGACAAGCUCAGUCACUGACCCAGUCCCAUGAGAGGUCACUGCAGCCCGGUGACCUCCGAACUUUGACCCUUCACCCUACACCCAGUCUCACACUCUUCUCAUAGGCGUCUCUGCAUGAUGUGCGCUGGACUUUUCCAAACACGGUCUCGGGAAGUUUAAAGGGGUUUUAAGUUUGUUUUCAUUCUUUCAUUAAGAUUUUAAAAAGGGAAAGAAAUACAAUAAAGGAAUCAAAGUAUUCAAUCACUUUUCUACUCCUAUUUUCAAAAAAAGUGAAAUGAAAAAAAAUCUAAACAAAAAGUUGAAUUUGUAAAUACAUCCUGUACAGUCUGGAUCUGUACUCGUAAGUCUGUCCUUGGUGGCAGAGUCUGUCUUGCUUAUAACGCACGCUACCAGUAAAUAAAAAAGGAAAAAACUCUAUUUAGGCUGUAUGGUCCUUGAAAGCAAGUUUUAAACUUCAUCUAUGAUGUAUAUUCCUGUAACAUUGCAUUUUUAUCUGAGGAAUGAUGUUAUUAAAAAAUAUUGCAAAUAAAUUACAUUUCCUAGAGUCCGUUUGUACUUUCUGGCUGUUUUCCUGUACACAUAAAUAUUCACACUCAUAAUGAAAAUGACUUUGGAACAAAUGUGCACCUUCUCUUCUGUGGAUGUGUGAGACCUGUGGCCCACAGCCGUGAGGAUAUCCUUCAUCACCCCCACUCACUCGUGUCAUACUGCUGUAGUGUAAGAUCCUGGGAAGAUCAACACUGAUCAGGGCCAGAUGAAGGCCAGGCCAUAUUAGAAGAUCAACACUGAUCAGGGCCAGAUGAAGGCCAGGCCAUAUUAGAAGAUCAACACUGAUCAGGGCCAGAUGAAGGCCAGGCCAUAUUAGAAGCCUGUCGGUCAUCUGAACCUGAACCUGAGUCCAUCAGAGUCUCUCAUCACAAAGCCAGUAAGGAGCUGCUCUCAUCCAGAAGCACAGGUACUGUAUCGUCAUCUGUAAAAACAAUCAAGGAAAAUGCAUUAACAACAACAAUACAGCAACUUCUU